GUGUUGAGGUGAGACCAGGUCCUGGUUUUAUGGUCUGAAAGUCGACCAGAGUCUGAUCUGUGUGAAUGGAUCUUAUGGGAAAAGUGUCUCCAUGACAGCCAGACGACCUCUGUGAUGACCUUUAACC